UCAAUUCUAAGAAUUCUUCUCAAUCUAAAGUUAUCGGUGUUUAAUUUUUCUAGACUAAUCGACCUGUUGAAAAUUUGAAGGAGGCCAUAACUCUAGAAGACAUGAAGAAAAUAAGUAUAACCAUAGCCCUACUCUUUGUAGCCCUCGUGGUUUGUUCAGCUGCUGAUGAUAAUGGAGGUGACAACCAUGAAACAAAAAUUUCUGCAGUAAAAUGUUGUAGUGACAAUCAUAUUGGAGAAUGUACCCCGGGCUCUGGAAGUGAAACAAGGUGUAAUAAUUUAUGCAAGCAGAAUUCAUGCACAAAAGGAGGUGUUUGCAAAGUUGAUUCACAAAAACCCCAUAACCAAUAUUGUCAUUGUGUUUGUGAUUUGUGAAUAUAAUAAUAUUCCGUCAUGACAAGUGAAUACCCAUAAAUUAUAUUUUACAUAUAGGUUUAAAUACUACGAGGAUUUUCAUCGUACAUCCGAUUGUACUUAACUCACACAUAUGCUCACAAGGUACGAGCACUUGUGUAAAGAAAUAUAGGUAUGAAAUUUAGAUGUGCCCUUUGUGUGUACAUAGAAAAAUAAAAUUUAUAAUGAAAUGAAAUUACGCCAUUAUAUAUGCC